GACGAAGGGGGCUAGCGUUGUUCGGAAUUACUGGGCGUAAAGCGCGUGUAAGCGGUUGUUCAAGUCAGGUGUGAAAGCCUUGAGCUCAACUCAAGAAAUGCACUUGAUACUGGAUGACUAGAGGACCGGAGAGGAUAGUGGAAUUCCCAGUGUAGUGGUGAAAUACGUAGAGAUUGGGAAGAACACCAGUGGCGAAGGCGGCUAUCUGGACGGUUUCUGACGCUAAGACGCGAAAGCGUGGGGAGCAAACAGG
rnacentral:rRNA from 1 species